rnacentral:rRNA from 1 species
GAUGAACGCUGGCGGCGUGCCUAAUACAUGCAAGUCGAGCGAACGGACGAGAAGCUUGCUUUUCUGAUGUUAGCGGCGGACGGGUGAGUAACACGUGGAUAACCUACCUAUAGACUGGGAUAACUUCGGGAAACCGGAGCUAAUACCGGAUAAUAUUUUGCACCGCAUGGUUCAAAAGUGAAAGACGGUCUUGCUGUCACUUAUAGAUGGAUCCGCGCUGCAUUAGCUAGUUGGUAAGGUAACGGCUUACCAAGGCAACGAUGCAUAGCCGACCUGAGAGGGUGAUCGGCCACACUGGAACUGAGACAUGGUCCAGACUCCUACGGGAGGCAGCAGUAGGGAAUCUUCCGCAAUGGGCGAAAGCCUGACGGAGCAACGCCGCGUGAGUGAUGAAGGUCUUCGGAUCGUAAAACUCUGUUAUUAGGGAAGAACAUAUGUGUAAGUAACUGUGCACAUCUUGACGGUACCUAAUCAGAAAGCCACGGCUAACUACGUG